rfam:Faecalibacterium prausnitzii A2-165 genomic scaffold Scfld5, whole genome shotgun sequence.
UGAUACUCCCUUACCGUCAAAGUCCGAGCGUUCAGAGCGUCGCAGGCAAUGAGUAGGGCUGCAUGAGAAAUGCAGGGGUGAGAUUCCCGUGG